rnacentral:rRNA from 1 species
AACGAACGCUGGCGGCGUGGAUUAGGCAUGCAAGUCGAACGAGAAUCUGGUCAUUCAAGUUUUCGGACAAGAAUGGCCGGAGGACAGUGGCGGAAGGGUGAGGAAUACAUGGGCAAUCUAUCUUCAAGUUGGGUAUAACUCUGCGAAAGCGGAGAUAAUACCGAAUGUGGUGAUCCGGCGCAUGUCGGAGAAUCUAAAGGCGGGGACCGUAAGGCCUGUCGCUUGGAGCUGAGCCCGUGCACUAUCAGCUAGUUGGUGAGGUAACGGCCCACCAAGGCUAUGACGGUUAGCUGGUCUGAGAGGAUGGUCAGCCACACUGGGACUGAGAUACUGCCCAGACUCCUACGGGAGGCUGCAGUCGAGAAUCAUUCGCAAUGGGCGAAAGCCUGACGGUGCGACGUCGCGUGGAGGAUGAAGGUCUUCGGAUUGUAAACUCCUGUCAUGUGGGAUAAAUGGCCAGGG